rnacentral:rRNA from 1 species
GAUGAACGCUAGCGACAGGCUUAACACAUGCAAGUCGAGGGGCAGCGAGGGCGUAGCAAUACGCCUGUCGGCGACCGGCGCACUGGUGAGUAACACGUAUGCGACCUGCCCCCUACAGGGGUAUAACCCGUAGAAAUGCGGACUAAUCCCCCAUAGUCCCGCGGGCUGCAUGGCCUGCGGGGGAAAGGGUUUCCGGUAGGGGAUGGGCAUGCGGCGCAUUAGCUAGUUGGCGGGGCAACGGCCCACCAAGGCGACGAUGCGUAGGGGUUCUGAGAGGAAGGUCCCCCACACUGGUACUGAGACACGGACCAGACUCCUACGGGAGGCAGCAGUGAGGAAUAUUGGUCAAUGGGCGCAGGCCUGAACCAGCCAAGUCGCGUGAGGGAUGACGGUCCUACGGAUUGUAAACCUCUUUUGUCGGGGAGUAACGUGCGGGACGCGUCCCGUAUUGAGAGUACCCGAAGAAAAAGCAUCGGCUAACUCCGUG